AAUGAACGCUGGCGGCAUGCCUAACACAUGCAAGUCGAACGAGACCUUCGGGUCUAGUGGCGCACGGGUGCGUAACGCGUGGGAAUCUACCCUCAGGCUCGGAAUAACUCAGAGAAAUUUGAGCUAAUACCGGAUGAUGACGUAAGUCCAAAGAUUUAUCGCCUGAGGAUGAGCCCGCUUAGGAUUAGGUAGUUGGUGAGGUAAAGGCUCACCAAGCCGACGAUCCUUAGCUGGUCUGAGAGGAGGAGCAGCCACACUGGGACUGAGACACGGCCCAGACUCGUACGGGGAGCAGCAGUAGGGAGUAUUGGACAAGGAACGAAGGCCUGAUCCAGCAAUGCCGCGUGAGUGAUGAAGGCCUUAGGGUUGUAAAGCUCUUUUACCCGAGAUGAUAAUGACAGUACCGGGAGAAUAAGCGCCGGCUAACUCCGUG
rnacentral:rRNA from 1 species